rnacentral:RNase_P_RNA from 1 species
UUUUGGGGCCUGAUUGUCGCUCCUUGUUCUUUGAUUCCUGCUUCCGCGCAAGCGUGAGGUAGGUCUUUGCAAUGGGGAGAGGAAAGUCCGGACACCACCGGGCACGAGGCCGCACAAGGGCUAGUCCCAAGUGCGGGCACGCCGCGUCAAGGCGGCGUGACGGACAGUGUCACAGAGAACAAACCGCCGGUUUGGAUUUGAAAUCUCAAAUUUGAGAUUUGAGAUCCCAAGCCGGUAAGGGUGAAAAGGUGGGGUAAGAGCCCACCGCGUUGUCCGCGAGGACGGCGGCACGAAAAACCCCCUCGGGUGCAAGGCAAAAUAGGCGACUGGACGGCCCGUCCUAUAGUCGCGGGUAUGCCGCAUCCCGCUCCGGCGGGACAGUGACGCAAGUUGCUGAGAGAAAUGACAAUCGAAGUGUCGUACGGCACGGAACAUAAUCCGGCUUAUCGGCCCCAAAACCAA